GGUCGUUAUUUGCAGAUGUAGCAUCAUCAAGAUUCACAUGCAAAUGCAAAUGCAAUCUAAGGCCAAGCCAUAGAUCUUUUGAAGUGAGAAUCUUGAUGAUGCUGCAUCAGCCAUGAACGGCU
rnacentral:pre_miRNA from 1 species